rnacentral:tRNA from 1 species
GGUGGCUCAGUGGUAGAGUGCUUGCCUUGCAUGCAUGAGGCCCUGGAUUCGAUCCUCAGUACCA